GGAGGCAGCAGUGAGGAAUAUUGGUCAAUGGACGAGAGUCUGAACCAGCCAAGUAGCGUGCAGGAAGACGGCCCUAUGGGUUGUAAACUGCUUUUAUAAGGGAAUAAAGUGAGUCUCGUGAGACUUUUUGCAUGUACCUUAUGAAUAAGGACCGGCUAAUUCCGUGCCAGCAGCCGCGGUAAUACGGAAGGUCCGGGCGUUAUCCGGAUUUAUUGGGUUUAAAGGGAGCGUAGGCCGGAGAUUAAGCGUGUUGUGAAAUGUAGAUGCUCAACAUCUGAACUGCAGCGCGAACUGGUUUCCUUGAGUACGCACAAAGUGGGCGGAAUUCGUGGUGUAGCGGUGAAAUGCUUAGAUAUCACGAAGAACUCCGAUUGCGAAGGCAGCUCACUGGAGCGCAACUGACGCUGAAGCUCGAAAGUGCGGGUAUCGAACAGGAUUAGAUACCCUGGUAGUCCGCACGGUAAACGAUGGAUGCCCGCUGUUGGUCUGAAUAGGUCAGCGGCCAAGCGAAAGCAUUAAGCAUCCCACCUGGGGAGUACGCCGGCAACGGUGAAACUCAAAGGAAUUGACGGGGGCCCGCACAAGCGGAGGAACAUGUGGUUUAAUUCGAUGAUACGCGAGGAACCUUACCCGGGCUUGAAUUGCAGAGGAAGGAUUUGGAGACAAUGACGCCCUUCGGGGCCUCUGUGAAGGUGCUGCAUGGUUGUCGUCAGCUCGUGCCGUGAGGUGUCGGCUUAAGUGCCAUAACGAGCGCAACCCCUCUCCUUAGUUGCCAUCAGGUUAAGCUGGGCACUCUGGGGACACUGCCACCGUAAGGUGUGAGGAAGGUGGGGAUGACG
rnacentral:rRNA from 1 species